AAAACCCCGAAGCAAGCGCAGUUGCGAGCGGCUGCCAUAANAUCNUGCAGUCGAGACGGACAGAUGGGAGACUUGACUCCCUGAUGUUAGCGGCGGACGGGUGAGUAACACGUGGGUAACCUGCCUGUAAGACUGGGAUAACUCCGGGAAACCGGGGCUAAUACCGGAUGGCUUGUUUGAACCGCAUGGUUCAGACAUAAAAGGUGGCUUCGGCUACCACUUACAGAUGGACCCGCGGCGCAUUAGCUAGUUGGUGAGGUAACGGCUCACCAAGGCAACGAUGCGUAGCCGACCUGAGAGGGUGAUCGGCCACACUGGGACUGAGACACGGCCAGACUCCCUACGGGAGGCAGCAGUAGGGG
rnacentral:rRNA from 1 species